CUCGGUUCACUGCAACCUCCGCCUCCCAGGUUCAAGAAAUUCUCCUGCCUCAGCCUCCCGGGUAGCUGGGAUUACAGGUGCCUGCCACCAUGCCCAGCUAAUUUUUGUAUUUUUAGUAGAGACGAGUUUUACCAUGUUGGUCAGGAUGGUCUUGAUCUCUUGACCUUGUGAUCUGCCUGCCUCGGCCUCCCAAAGUCCUGGGAUUACAGGUGUGAGCCACCACGCCCCGCCGAGACUCCGUCUUAAAAGAAAAAUUGCAUUAAUGAGGCAUCCAGUAUGCAUUACCCUGCAUGAUGUAUUUUUUUUCCCACUUGAUGACAGGGACAAUGAAAGUUUUAUCAGGGACCUGAAGGAAGGGUAGGAAUUAACUAGGAGAAGGAAAGGGAUGGAGACAGCAGUGAGAAAGGGUGUGUUUUAGGUGAUGGGAACAGCAGCAUCAAGGCUGUGAUACUAGACACAACGUGGCUGCUGGAAAUACAAUCAUUGGUGACAGUGUGAGGGGCAGAUUUGCUUAAAAACUGGCCUACUGGCCAGACACAGUGGCUCAUGCCUCUAAUCUUAGCACUUUGAGAGGCCAAAGCAGGAGGUUCACUUGAGGCCAGGAGUUUGAAACCAGCCUAGACAACAUAGCGAGACCCUGUCUCUACAAAAAAAAAAAAAAAGAAAAAAAAUUAGCUGGGCCUGGUGGUAUGUACCUGUAGUCUCAGCUACUUAGGAGGCCAAGGCAGGAGGAUUGUUUGCGCCCACGAGUUCAAGGUUUCAGUAAGCCAUGAUCAUGCCACUGAACUCCAGCCUGGGCGACAGAGAGAGAGACAGAGAGAGACCCCGUUUCAAAAAAAACAAAAAACAACAACAAAAACAGAACUGACCUAUUGGGCCUGUUUACAUUUUUACUUGUAAACAGCAAUUUCAGAUUUCGGCUGGGAGCGGUGGCUCAAAGCUGUAAUCCCAGCACUUUGAGAGGCCGAGGUGGGCAGAUCACGAAGUAAGGAGUUUGAGACCAACCUGGCCAACAUGGUGAAACCCCAUCUCUACUAAAAAUACAAAGAUUAGCCUGGUGUGGUGGCUCGUACCUGUAAUCCCAGCUACUCAUGAGGCUGAGGCAGGAGAAUCAGUUGAGGAAGGGAGGCAGAGGUUGCAGUGACCUGAGAUCAUGCCAUUGCACUCCAGCCUGGGCAACAGAGUGAGAGUCCAUCUCAAAAAAAAUUAAAUAAACAGCCAUUUCAAAAAAGACCUUCUUACUCUGCUUAUUAUUGUAGAUAUUAGAGGAAACACUUAUUGAGUGCUUAGGAUGUGCUAGGCCCUGUGCUACCAGCCUUACUUAUGUUAUUUUGUUUGAUCCCCACAGCAGCUCUGACAGGAUGGUCCUGUUCAUACCCCCAUUUUACAGAUGAAGACAUUGGAGGGCCGGGUGCGGUAGCUCACGCCUGUAAUCCUAGCACUUUGGGAGGCCAAGGCGGGCGGAUCACGAGGUCAGGAGUUCGAGACCAUCCUGGCCAACAUGGUGAAACCCGUCUCUACUAAAAAUACAAAAAUUAACCGGGAGUGGUGGUGGGCGCCUGUAAUCCCAGCUACUUGGGAGGCUGAGGUAGGAGAAUCGCUUGAAACCAAAAGGCGGAGGUUGCAGUGAGCUAAGAUCGUGCCACUGCACUCCAGCCUGGGCGAAAAGACUGAAACUCUGUCUCAAAAAAAAAAAAAAGAAAGAAAAGAAAAGAAAUUGGGGCUUACUGAGGCUUACAAGACUUGCCCAGAAUCCCACAGCCUGUCAGUGGUGGAGGCAGUUGACGACUGCACAGGCUAAUGGCCUCCAAAGAGCCACCCAAAGAGCUGAUGGCUCUGUCCUAGGUCCCUCCAUCUCUGCUCUGGGUGAGGUCACAUCUCAGCCCUGUCCCUGAUCAUCCUUCUGGAUGACCCUUGGAGAGCCACUUAAAAUCCCAGAGAGGCAGAACAUCUGAGUUUUUUUCCCCAGCACUCUUUCCCAGUUUUUCUGGUCAUGGCACCCCAUUUUUCUUUAGGUACUCAUGCCUCCUUUUCAGUACAUUUGGUUCUGAAGGGGCUGACUCCACCCACUGGCUCCAGGGUGGGCCUGUGAUCCAGGCCUGGCCAAUUGAUGCCCUGCAUUUCCUGGCUACAAUGAUUGGCUCAGAGAUGGGACCGUGACUCAGGCUGGGCCAAUCAGAGGUGACUGUGGGACAUAU
rnacentral:lncRNA from 10 species